rnacentral:misc_RNA from 1 species
AUUGUGGUAUUUGAUGUCAAAUUUUCACACUCUAUGCUCCAUUUGUAGGAUAGCUUACCUUGUGCUGCUUUUUUUCUUCCUUUAAUUCGCCUCCAACUCUAAUUGGAGAGCUUUCAGUCCCCAAGAUGACUCAAAUACUAUGAAGUUAAAUCUCUAACCUUGUGUUUGAGUCAUCUUGGGGACUGAGCUCUCCAAUUAGAGUUGUAGGUGAAUUAAAGAAAGAAAAAAGCAGCAGAAGGUAAGCUAGCCUACGAAUGGAGCAUAGAAUGUGAAAAUUUGACAUCAAAUACCACAAA